CUACGGGCUGCUCCAGUGGGGAAUAUUGCACAAUGGGCGCAAGCCUGAUGCAGCCAUGCCGCGUGUAUGAAGAAGGCCUUCGGGUUGUAAAGUACUUUCAGCGGGGAGGAAGGGAGUAAAGUUAAUACCUUUGCUCAUUGACGUUACCCGCAGAAGAAGCACCGGCUAAGUCCGUGCCAGCAGCCGCGGUGAAUACGGAGGGUGCAAGCGUUAAUCGGAAUUACUGGGCGUAAAGCGCACGCAGGCGGUUUGUUAAGUCAGAUGUGAAAUCCCCGGGCUCAACCUGGGAACUGCAUCUGAUACUGGCAAGCUUGAGUCUCGUAGAGGGGGGUAGAAUUCCAGGUGUAGCGGUGAAAUGCGUAGAGAUCUGGAGGAAUACCGGUGGCGAAGGCGGCCCCCUGGACGAAGACUGACGCUCAGGUGCGAAAGCGUGGGGAGCAAACAGGAUUAGAUACCCCUGUAGUC
rnacentral:rRNA from 1 species